GGGGAUGUGGCUCAGUGGUAGAGUGCUUGUCUGGCACAUAUUGGGUCCUGGGUUCAACCUCCAGUGUCAUUA
rnacentral:tRNA from 1 species